AAUUUCUCUAGACUUUUCCACUGCUUGACCACCCUCCUCUCCUCCUGCCUCAAUUUCCCCGGCUGCAGCUUGAAGCCGUUGCAACUAGUCCUGACCCCUGCCCAUCUCCAUCCUCGCUAUAACCAUCCUUCAGGUGUUUGAGGACUGUUAUCAAAUCCCCGCUCAGGC